GACGAACGCUGGCGGCGCGCCUAACACAUGCAGGUCGAACGAGAGAUGAGGAGCUUGCUCUUCAAAUCGAGUGGCGAACGGGUGAGUAACGCGUGAGGAACCUGCCUCAAAGAGGGGGACAACAGUUGGAAACGACUGCUAAUACCGCAUAAGCCCACGGCUCGGCAUCGAGCAGAGGGAAAAGGAGCAAUCCGCUUUGAGAUGGCCUCGCGUCCGAUUAGCUAGUUGGUGAGGUAACGGCCCACCAAGGCGACGAUCGGUAGCCGGACUGAGAGGUUGAACGGCCACAUUGGGACUGAGACACGGCCCAGACUCCUACGGGAGGCAGCAGUGGGGAAUAUUGCACAAUGGGGGAAACCCUGAUGCAGCGACGCCGCGUGGAGGAAGAAGGUCUUCGGAUUGUAAACUCCUGUUGUUGAGGAAGAUAAUGACGGUACUCAACAAGGAAGUGACGGCUAACUACGUGCCAGCAGCCGCGGUAAAACGUAGGUCACAAGCGUUGUCCGGAAUUACUGGGUGUAAAGGGAGCGCAGGCGGGAGAACAAGUUGGAAGUGAAAUCCAUGGGCUCAACCCAUGAACUGCUUUCAAAACUGUUUUUCUUGAGUAGUGCAGAGGUAGGCGGAAUUCCCGGUGUAGCGGUGGAAUGCGUAGAUAUCGGGAGGAACACCAGUGGCGAAGGCGGCCUACUGGGCACCAACUGACGCUGAGGCUCGAAAGUGUGGGUAGCAAACAGGAUUAGAUACCCUGGUAGUCCACACCGUAAACGAUGAUUACUAGGUGUUGGAGGAUUGACCCCUUCAGUGCCGCAGUUAACACAAUAAGUAAUCCACCUGGGGAGUACGACCGCAAGGUUGAAACUCAAAGGAAUUGACGGGGGCCCGCACAAGCAGUGGAGUAUGUGGUUUAAUUCGACGCAACGCGAAGAACCUUACCAAGUCUUGACAUCCCUUGACGAACAUAGAAAUAUGUUUUCUCUUCGGAGCAAGGAGACAGGUGGUGCAUGGUUGUCGUCAGCUCGUGUCGUGAGAUGUUGGGUUAAGUCCCGCAACGAGCGCAACCCUUAUGGUCAGUUACUACGCAAGAGGACUCUGGCCAGACUGCCGUUGACAAAACGGAGGAAGGUGGGGAUGACGUCAAAUCAUCAUGCCCUUUAUGACUUGGGCUACACACGUACUACAAUGGCGUUAAACAAAGAGAAGCAAGACCGCGAGGUGGAGCAAAACUCAGAAACAACGUCCCAGUUCGGACUGCAGGCUGCAACUCGCCUGCACGAAGUCGGAAUUGCUAGUAAUCGUGGAUCAGCAUGCCACGGUGAAUACGUUCCCGGGCCU
rnacentral:rRNA from 1 species